AUGGCGACGGUGGCCCGCACCGCCCUCAGGAGGAUCGGCGGCCGCUCCUUCCGCCCGUCGCUGGCCGCGGCGGCGCACCAGCACCAGCAGCCGCACCCCACCCCACCUCGCUCCAUGGUCGCCGUUCCACAUCGCAGCUGGUCCUCCACCCCCUUGCCUGCCAUCGUCCCUCCCACUCCAGACAUCAACAGGAAGUUUCAUCUGGACGUGAGUGGCAAGCUGCUUCCCGAGAUCGGGUUUACCACGGACCAUGCCUACAGGAUCUCCAUCUGCGAUGACAAUGCUGACUCCGCAUCAAACAUAGUGAGGGACUUCCUGAAGGCACUUCAGUCAAACAGACCAGAGGAUCUCGAGGCGUAUCUGAGGCACCAGGUCUCUAUUGUGGAGGUAAAGAAGGUGGUCAGCGGAGCUGCUAUCGAAAUCACGCUCCAGGGAAUAGAGCGAACCGCCGAAAUCCGUUUUGAGAUUGAAGCGCUCAAGCAGAUGGUGGUGGAUGAGGCCACCUCCACCAGGGCUGGGGUGGAGUCCUUGAAGACAGUGGUGGCGGACACGAAGAAGGAGCUGCAGGAGCUGAAGACCUCCACCAGUGCCCAAGUGGGGUGCUUGAAGACUGCCGUGGCGGGCACGCAGAAGGAGGUCCAGGAGCUGCAGACGGAUAUGUCAGAUAAGGACUUUGCCACGGUGGUCUUUCGCAACACUGUCGCUAAUGUGGCGUGCGCAUUUCUGGUUUUCUUGUCUGGGAAGGUGACGUUCACUGUUACUGAAGCAGCGGUGGACUUUGUGAACCACGUAGGGAUAUGA
rnacentral:rRNA from 1 species